rnacentral:piRNA from 2 species
AGAAACAUUAUAAAACGGUUGCCACUAAAGU